rnacentral:rRNA from 1 species
GACGAACGCUGGCGGCGUGCUUAACACAUGCAAGUCGAACGGAAAGGCCCUGCUUUUGUGGGGUGCUCGAGUGGCGAACGGGUGAGUAACACGUGAGUAACCUGCCCUUGACUUUGGGAUAACUUCAGGAAACUGGGGCUAAUACCGGAUAUGAGCUCCUGCUGCAUGGUGGGGGUUGGAAAGUUUCGGCGGUUGGGGUUGGACUCGCGGCUUAUCAGCUUGUUGGUGGGGUAGUGGCUUACCAAGGCUUUGACGGGUAGCCGGCCUGAGAGGGUGACAGGCCACAUUGGGACUGAGAUACGGCCAAGACUCCUACGGGAGGCAGCAGUGGGGAAUAUUGCACAAUGGGCGGAAGCCUGAUGCAGCAACGACGCGUGCGGGAUGACGGACUUCGGGUUGUAAACCGCUUUCGCCUGUGACGAAGCGUGAGUGACGGUAAUGGGUAAAGAAGCACCGGCUAACUACGUG